rnacentral:rRNA from 1 species
UACGUAGGCAGCGAGCGUUGUUCGGAGUUACUGGGCGUAAAGGGUGUGUAGGCGGUUGUUUAAGUUUGGUGUGAAAUCUCCCGGCUCAACUGGGAGGAGUGCGCCGAAUACUGAAUGACUAGAGUGCGGGAGAGGAGAGUGGAAUUCCUGGUGUAGCGGUGAAAUGCGUAGAUAUCAGGAGGAACACCGGUGGUGUAGACGGCUCUCUGGACCGUAACUGACGCUGAGACACGAAAGCGUGGGUAGCAAACAGG